rnacentral:rRNA from 1 species
GCUGCUUUGCUGACGAGUGGCGGACGGGUGAGUAAUGUCUGGGAAACUGCCUGAUGGAGGGGGAUAACUACUGGAAACGGUAGCUAAUACCGCAUAAUGUCGCAAGACCAAAGAGGGGGACCUUCGGGCCUCUUGCCAUCAGAUGUGCCCAGAUGGGAUUAGCUAGUAGGUGGGGUAACGGCUCACCUAGGCGACGAUCCCUAGCUGGUCUGAGAGGAUGACCAGCCACACUGGAACUGAGACACGGUCCAGACUCCUACGGGAGGCAGCAGUGGGGAAUAUUGCACAAUGGGCGCAAGCCUGAUGCAGCCAUGCCGCGUGUAUGAAGAAGGCCUUCGGGUUGUAAAGUACUUUCAGCGGGGAGGAAGGCGAUGUGGUUAAUAACCGCGUCGAUUGACGUUACCCGCAGAAGAAGCACCGGCUAACUCCGUGCCAGCAGCCGCGGUAAUACGGAGGGUGCAAGCGUUAAUCGGAAUUACUGGGCGUAAAGCGCACGCAGGCGGUCUGUCAAGUCGGAUGUGAAAUCCCCGGGCUCAACCUGGGAACUGCAUCCGAAACUGGCAGGCUUGAGUCUCGUAGAGGGGGGUAGAAUUCCAGGUGUAGCGGUGA